CUGCAACUCGCCUGCAUGAAGUUGGAAUUGCUAGUAAUCGCGAAUCAGAAUGUCGCGGUGAAUACGUUCCCGGGCCUUGUACACACCGCCCGUCACACCAUGAGAGUCGAUAACACCCGAAGCCUGUGAGCUAACCGCAAGGAGGCAGCAGUCGAAGGUGGGGUUGAUGAUUGGGGUGAAGUCGUAACAAGGUAAC
rnacentral:rRNA from 1 species